rnacentral:rRNA from 1 species
ACUACGAGAGGCAGCAGUGAGGAAUAUUGGUCAAUGGGCGCAAGCCUGAACCAGCAAAGUCGCGUGAGGGAUGACGGUCCUAUGGAUUGUAAACCUCUUUUGUCGGGGAGCAAGGCCCGCCACGUGUGGCGGGAAGGAGAGGACCCGAAGAAAAAGCACCGGCUAACUCCGUGCCAGCAGCCGCGGUAAUACGGAGGAUGCGAGUGUUAUCCGGUUUGAUUGGGGUAAAAGGUGCGUAGGCGGAAUGUUAAGUCAGUGGUAAAAUGGCUGUGCUCAAAACCGGCCGGCCGUUGAAGCUGGUCUUCUUGAGUGAGCGAGAAGUAUGCGGAAUGCGUGGUGUAGCGGUGAAAUGCAUAGAUAUCACGCAGAACUCCGAUUGCGAAGGCAGCAUACCGGCGCUCAACUGACGCUGAGGCACGAAAGCGUGGGGAUCGAACAGGAUUAGAUACCCGAGUAGUC